GUCCUACGGGGGGCAGCAGUGAGGAAUAUUGGUCAAUGGGCUUACGCCUGAACCAGCCAAGUCGCGUGAGAGAAGACUGCCCUAUGGGUUGUAAACCUCUUUUGUCAGGGAGCAACGCCGGCUACGUGUAGCCGGACUGAGAGUACCUGAAGAAAAAGCAUCGGCUAACUCCGUGCCAGCAGCCGCGGUAAUACGGAGGAUGCGAGCGUUAUCCGGAUUUAUUGGGUUUAAAGGGGGCGCAGACGGCAGCGCAAGCCAGGAGUGAAAGCCCGGGGCCCAACCCCGGGACUGCUCUUGGAACUGCG
rnacentral:rRNA from 1 species